rnacentral:rRNA from 1 species
GACGAACGCUGGCGGCGUGCUUAACACAUGCAAGUCGAACGGAAAGGCCCUGCUUUUUUGGGGUGCUCGAGUGGCGAAAGGGUGAGUAACAAGUGAGUAACCUGCCCUUGACUUUGGGAUAACUUCAGGAAACUGGGGCUAAUACCGGAUAGGAGCUCCUGCUGCCUGGUGGGGGGUGGGAAGUUUCGGCGGUUGGGGAUGGACUCGCGGCUUAUCAGCUUGUUGGUGGGGUAGUGGCUUACCAAGGCUUUGACGGGUAGCCGGCCUGAGAGGGUGACCGGCCACAUUGGGACUGAGAUACGGCCCAGACUCCUACGGGAGGCAGCAGUGGGGAAUAUUGCACAAUGGGCGGAAGCCUGAUGCAGCAACGCCGCGUGCGGGAUGACGGCCUUCGGGUUGUAAACCGCUUUCGCCUGUGACGAAGCGUGAGUGACGGUAAUGGGUAAAGAAGCACCGGCUAACUACGUG